ensembl:lncRNA
UUUAAUAAUCCUCUGACCUCUGUCAGAGCAUCCUGAGACUAAUGGAUAAAAACCCAUUGGCGUCUAGUCACUGAGCCACCCACUGGGCUCCAACUAAAAGCACAGGAGCUGGUCGUUCAAAGAAAGACCUGCUACAUCUGGUUCAAGGUUUCCGGCUUCUCAGAGCUGCCAUGCAGUCCCGAGGGUGCUGGCAGCCCCCACCAUCCUGAAGGCUUAUCAAGACUUACAUAGCCUUCAACAGCCUUCCCUGUUCAGGAUCCAUUCGUACUGAUGUUUGUGACUUAAUGGAAUCCCUUCAUGUCUCAAAAGAAGUGACUCUUCCCUCGGGAUAAAGGGUCCGCCCUAGAAGACUAAUUAGGUUCAAUUGCUGUGAUGAAGACCAUGACCAAAAGCAACUUGGACAGGGAAAAAUGUGUUUGCCUUUCAUAUACUGGGCCAUUGAGAGAAACCAAGACAAAAGCCUAGAGACAGGAACUGAAGGAGAAGCUGCUUAAUGGCUAACUCCCCAUGGCUUGUUCAGACUGUUUUCUUGGAUCACCCAGGGCAACCUGCUCAAGGAUGGUGUCAUCUACAGUAAGCUGGACCUUCCCACAUCAGUCAUCAGUCAAGAAAAUGCCUCCAUAGACAUACACCGGGCCUGUGCAUAUUGUCAUAACCAUGACAGCUGUCCUGUUGUGUCAGGAGAACAUAGUUCCUUUGUAUUUACUUAUUGACUACCUCUUACUCUCCCAGACUUCCCUCCCCCUCUUCAGCAAUGAUCCAUGCACCUUGGGAAGAGAGGGUACAGCAUGGAUGUUUCAUUUAGGGGUGAACAUUCCACAGGCCCUAGUUCUCUGCACUUUGGCCAGUAUGUUGGUCUCUGACUGCUGUAAAUUUUUCUGAAGAGGGUUGAGAGAUACAUUAAUCUGUGUCUCCUGUCAUGUGGGCAGUAGAGCUGUUUGUUUCUGAGACAAGGUUAGAGAGGUGAAAUGGUACCAAAUAGAUGACAUUUGAACAAUAAUCAAAAAGAAGGAAGGGAAUGAACUAUUCUCAGCCUGCUCUGUAUGAUUCCAGUUAGUGGGUUAUGUUAGUAAGAAGAGUCAUGGGCUCGUGACAAUUGUGAAACUAUCCUAGUGUUACACUGAGUGAGGUUCUAGGUUCUGUAAAAUAUGAAUAUCUUGACUAAUACUGUCUAUGCAGGGCCAGGGAUGUAGAUGUAUGUAAUAGAACAAGUUUGUAAAACAAGUCAUUUCAUUUAUUUUCCUUUAUGAAUUUUAUUUUAUGUGAUGGGACAGAACAAAUUCCAGCCUGGAAAGGGAGGUGAGCUUUAAGGCCCAUCUGCAGCCCAGGAGCUCAGGGCAACUGAUAGCCACAGGAAGGAGGGAAGUCACCCUUCUUUCAGAGUGUUACCACUGGUAUGUCACCUGCACUCCAGUGGAAGGCCACAUAUCCAAGAAUAUAUGGAUGAUGCAAAUUGGACUCUGUGUGUUCUUUUUGUUUUGUUUUUAAGAGGACACAAAGUUGGGUAGGUAGGGAAGAGGAGUUGGUUCUGGG